UGCACCGAUCCGUCUCCGUUAGAAUUUGAUUCUCCACAAUUUGGGUCGGUUCGUUGCACUUUAGUUUGAAAAAGAAGCUUAAGUAAGGUUAUAAGGCAAAGGUAACAAAGGAGGUAGACCGACGAGGGACAAGAAGGAGACGUGAUUGCCAUAAGGGAAUGUUCUUCAAAUGCUUUCGCUUUAUGUUUCUUGUUUUUCCUUUGUACAUGAGGUUGUUUAAAAAUUUUGUGAUGGAACUGAGUUUACGAACUGUUGUUUUGUAAAUAGUACUUUUAAAGUUUUGGUUAUUUGAAAUAGGGCCCGAACUUAAGUUUGUUUUCUUU